GUGCUCGCUUCAGCAGCACAUGUACCAAAAUGAACAAUACAGAGAAGAUUAGCAUGCCCCCUGAGCAAGGAUGAUGUGAAAAUUCGUGAAGGGUUCCAUAUUUUU
ensembl:snRNA U6 U6 spliceosomal RNA